UUUAGUUUCAUUAUUUUCAUAGCUUGGCGACGCUUAGCUCCAACAAGCAAAUUAUUAAAUAAUACAUUAAAUGGCAUAGUAAGAAUCAUGUGGAAAUCAACUACACCUUUAUACAUUUUUAUAUUCAUAGUCGUGGCGAUGUUAAUUGAUUGCUCACAACAAGAAACAUGUGCAGUUUUGCAUUUUUACAACAUGGACCAAGAAACCAUUAAUGUCUUUGAAGACAAAUUUGCGAAAGUGACAUUUGGGAUAAAUGUGUCAGCGACUUGUGAUCCAACUAAUCAGUCCUAUCAAAUAGCAGUAAACACGAGAACAAACUCUGGCAGCCAGGAAUAUGAUGGAACUAUUGUCUUCUGGAAAGACACGUGCACUGGCACAUUAGAUAAAUUUGUGAGAUGCAUCAGUCAGGCAGGUCCAGCAGAGCUCUACAGGAGAUUUAACCGAUCUCACGUGGCCAUCGAGUGGAAAUGGAGGGUGAGAGAUGUUAAGUCUGGACAGUUUGAGACCACGCAAAAGGAACUGAAGCUUAGGGUUUCUUACCCACCGCGAGUCACGAGUCUGACUGUGGAUGGACAUGAAACUGGCGGAAGUUUUCCUCCUUAGCGAGGGUCAAGAAGUCAACAUCUUUUGUUUGUUUGACAAAGGCAAUCCUCCGCAAAACUUCUCCUUGCUUGAUGAAACCGGAAACCGACUAAACGCUGUUAGAGAUGAACGACAUCUCAACUACUCCGUCAGAGUCCAGUGCAAAGACCACUGGCCAACCAUCCAAUGUGUAGGAAACAACUCGGAGCAGAACAAAUCUGUGUCCUUCAUGGUCAAGUGUCGCCCUCAGUUCAUUUCGAAGGCCCAAAGGUCGUGGAAGGCGCAAAAUAUGAUAGCUGGAUAUUUAAUAUAAAAGCUCACACACGAGAAAUAAAGAAAUGCUUCUUGACAUGUUUGUCGCUUGGAGAAAAUUCAAACACAGAAGUGAACUGCGACGUAACUGGUGACCCACCAGAACUACUGUUAAUUAUUUCCCUUGAUAAGCAGGAGAGCGCCAAGGGAGGCCAAUGGACACUAAUACUACAUAAUGAAAUGGGUUCUCAGACACAUUACUUUUCAACAUCGCCUCACGUGACAUCACACCCGCAAGUAAGUAUUGUACACCAUAACUCCCUUAAUUAAAUAAAGGUUUUAGGUAUUGCUAAAAUAAAGUAAUAGCACAGAAACUCAAAUUUAUCUGUUUAUGA